rnacentral:lncRNA from 1 species
GCCAUGUUGGUCCUGCCCAGCUUUCUCCUUCAUCCGCGCCCUCCCCAACAUCCUCUCUGUGCCCCAAAGUACAGUUUUGCAGCCAGAGAGUGGUCCCAGAGCCACAAGCAGCAGCAUCUGCCAUGACAUAAUGAAGAAAGAACGGAAUUUUGACUCAGUCAGUUCUGGAUUCGAAUUCUGGUUCUUCUCUUUGCCAAUAGAAUCUUGGGGGUAUGUGAGAACACCUACCUGAGCCUCAGUCUUCAGUUCUAAAAUGGGGACAUAGCAGCUUCCUCCGGGAGACCACAUGUACACAGUUCAGCACCCCACCCGAAACAGAAGAACCAUCAAAGACAUUAUAGCCAAAGCUUUAGAGGCUCCAAUUGUCCAGGAAACAAAGAUGACACGAUGGGGUAGCCACAAAAAGAGAGCGUUUUUAUGCAGGCUUUGGAGGGGCAGAGAUUCAUUUCAAGUCUCGGGCUGGACCCCAAGGAGAUGA